GCUCGCUGGCUUGGUUUCUUAUAUAAAGCACGUUACAAUGGCCCAAGUCUCUUCCGGGUUGUCGCUUUCUUCGUUGGAGCGGCUCAGAGCGGGAAUCCAAUUGAAUGGAUACGGGCAGCAAAAGAACAAUCGGUUAUGGGUAACACUUGCUGAAAGUGUUUUCUUUCCGGAAUUCGAAAUGAUAAGACAGCCAAUGAAGGAUGGGGAUGCCUACCGACUAGAAGUUUGCUAGCUCGGCGAGGAGCGCAGGUUAUCUAGUGCUGUGAGGUGUGUACGGAGAUUGAGGAGACAAUUGUCAUGUUCUUUUGCAGUGUCUC
rnacentral:lncRNA from 1 species